UCCAGGGUAGCCUAGUGGACAUGGCAUCUGCCCGGUAAGCGGAAGGUCGUGGGUUCGAUUCCCAUCCCUGGAC